rnacentral:pre_miRNA from 1 species
CCUUAUGGAUGAGAAAGGAAAGUGGUUUCCUUAGAUGGAAUCUACUCCUGGUGAAGAUGCUAUGAA